UACAGAGGGUGCAAGCGUUAAUCGGAAUUACUGGGCGUAAAGCGUGCGUAGUCGGUUAUCUAAGUCGGAUGUGAAAUCCCCGGGCUCAACCUGGGAAUUGCAUUCGAUACUGGAUAGCUAGAGUUCGGCAGAGGGAAGUGGAAUUUCGGGUGUAGCGGUGAAAUGCGUAGAUAUCUGGAGGAACACCGGUGGCGAAGGCGGCAUCCUGGACCGGUAUUGACGCUGAGGCGCGAAAGCUAGGGGAGCAAACGGG
rnacentral:rRNA from 1 species